UACGGAGGGUGCAAGCGUUGUCCGGAAUCACUGGGCGUAAAGGGCGCGUAGGCGGCUGGCACAGUCUGAUGUGAAAUCCCGGGGCUCAACCCCGGAACUGCAUUGGAUACUGCCUUGCUCGAGUACUGGAGAGGGAACUGGAAUUUACGGUGUAGCAGUGAAAUGCGUAGAUAUCGUAAGGAAGACCAGUGGCGAAGGCGAGUUUCUGGACAGUUACUGACGCUGAGGCACGAAGGCCAGAGGAGCAAACGGG
rnacentral:rRNA from 1 species